rnacentral:rRNA from 1 species
GGAAUCUUCCACAAUGGGCGCAAGCCUGAUGGAGCAACACCGCGCGAGUGAAGAAGGGCUUCGGCUCGUAAAGCUCUUUUAUCCCGGACGAAUGACCUAUUAGAUAGGUAGAGACGGUACGGGGUGAAUAAGCCACGGCGAACUACGUGCCAGCAGCCGCGGUAAUACGUAGGUGGCAAGCGUUAUCCGGAUUUAUUGGGCGUAAAGCGAGCGCAGGCGGUUUGAUAAGUCUGAUGUGAAAGCCUUUGGCUUAACCAAAGAAGUGCAUCGGAAACUGUCAGACUUGAGUGCAGAAGAGGACAGUGGAACUCCAUGUGUAGCGGUGAAAUGCGUAGAUAUAUGGAAGAACACCAGUGGCGAAGGCGGCUGUCUGGUCUGUAACUGACGCUGAGGCUCGAAAGCAUGGGUAGCGAACA